AACGAACGCUGGCGGCAGGCUUAACACAUGCAAGUCGAACGCGUGUAGCAAUACACGAGUGGCGCACGGGUGAGUAACGCGUGGAUAUCUGCCUUUUGGUUCGGAAUAACUCCGGGAAACUGGAGCUAAUACCGGAUGGUUCCUUCGGGAUAAAGAUUUAUCGCCAAAAGAUGAGUCCGCGUACGAUUAGCUAGUUGGUGAGGUAAUGGCUCACCAAGGCGACGAUCGUUAGCUGGUCUGAGAGGACGAUCAGCCACACUGGGACUGAGACACGGCCCAGACUCCUACGGGAGGCAGCAGUGGGGAAUAUUGGACAAUGGGGGCAACCCUGAUCCAGCCAUGCCGCGUGAGUGAUGAAGGCCUUCGGGUUGUAAAGCUCUUUUGGCGGGGACGAUGAUGACGGUGCCCGCAGAAUAAGCCCCGGCUAACUUCGUGCCAGCAGCCGCCGUAA
rnacentral:rRNA from 1 species